UACAGAGGUGGCAAGCGUUGCUCGGAAUUACUGGGCGUAAAGGGCGCGUAGGCGGUUCGUUAAGUCCUGUGUGAAAUCCCCCGGCUCAACUGGGGAACUGCACAGGAAACUAGCGGGCUUGAGUUCGGGAGAGGGAAGCGGAAUUCCGGGUGUAGCGGUGAAAUGCGUAGAUAUCCGGAGGAACACCGGUGGCGAAGGCGGCUUCCUGGACCGACACUGACGCUGAGGCGCGAAAGCUAGGGGAGCAAACGGG
rnacentral:rRNA from 1 species